rnacentral:rRNA from 1 species
UACGUAGGGACCAAGCGUUGUCCGGAAUCAUUGGGCGUAAAGAGCGUGUAGGCGGCUUGUUAAGUCUUGCGUGAAAUCUCGGGGCUCAACCCCGAGCGGUCGUGAGAAACUGGCAGGCUAGAGUGCGGGAGAGGAGAGUGGAAUUCCUGGUGUAGCGGUGAAAUGCGCAGAUAUCAGGAGGAAGACCAGUUGCGAAGGCGACUCUCUGGGCAAUUCCUGGCACUGAGGCACGAAGGCCAGGGGAGCAAACGGG